AGGACGAACGCUGGCGGCGUGCUUAACACAUGCAAGUGGAGCGACGAACCAGGGCUUGCCCUGGGGCAGAGCCGCGAACGGGUGAGUAACACGUGGGUUACCUGCCUCGAUGACCGGGACAACCCGAGGAAACUCGGGCUAAUACCGGAUGUGCCCGCAAGGGGAAAGGAAGCUUCGGCCUCCGCAUCGAGAUGGGCCCGCGGCCCAUUAGCUUGUUGGUGAGGUAACGGCUCACCAAGGCUUCGAUGGGUAGCUGGUCUGAGAGGACGAUCAGCCACACUGGGACUGAGACACGGCCCAGACUCCUACGGGAGGCAGCAGUGGGGAAUCUUGCGCAAUGCGCGAAAGCGUGACGCAGCAACGCCGCGUGGGGGAAGAAGGCUUUCGGGUUGUAAACCCCUUUCAGUUGGGACGAAGCUUCUCCGGUGAAUAGCCGGACGGAGUGACGGUACCUUCACAAGAGCACCGGCUAACUACGCGCCAGCAACCGCGGU
rnacentral:rRNA from 1 species